rnacentral:rRNA from 1 species
AUGAACGCUGGCGGCGUGCCUAAUACAUGCAAGUCGAGCGAACGGAUGAGAAGCUUGCUUCUCUGAUGUUAGCGGCGGACGGGUGAGUAACACGUGGAUAACCUACCUAUAAGACUGGGAUAACUUCGGGAAACCGGAGCUAAUACCGGAUAAUAUUUUGAACCGCAUGGUUCAAAAGUGAAAGACGGUCUUGCUGUCACUUAUAGAUGGAUCCGCGCUGCAUUAGCUAGUUGGUAAGGUAACGGCUUACCAAGGCAACGAUGCAUAGCCGACCUGAGAGGGUGAUCGGCCACACUGGAACUGAGACACGGUCCAGACUCCUACGGGAGGCAGCAGUAGGGAAUCUUCCGCAAUGGGCGAAAGCCUGACGGAGCAACGCCGCGUGAGUGAUGAAGGUCUUCGGAUCGUAAAACUCUGUUAUUAGGGAAGAACAUAUGUGUAAGUAACUGUGCACAUCUUGACGGUACCUAAUCAGAAAGCCACGGCUAACUACGUG